rnacentral:pre_miRNA from 1 species
AAAGGCAGAUGAUGAUUAUGACUGCAUAGAGUCCUACGUGCAUUUGAGGGUUAUCAAAUGCACGUAGGAGUCUAUGCAGUCAUCAUUAUCAUCA